AUGAAAUGCCCAAGCCUCUGGAGACAGAAAGGCUGGUGGUCGCCUGGGGGCCGAGGGAGGGGAGGCGUGGGGAGGGACUGCCAACGGCCUCACACAGCAGGAAGGGGGGCUGCGUUUCGCUGCUUCUCUGCUCUGUGUGAGCCCUCAUCCCCACCAGCUUUGGGGGCCAGAGGAGGGCUCCCUUCAGGCGGGGAUGUGGCCUCACGACCCCCCAGCUGUCAUCCAUCAUCCUUCAGCCCCAGGGAGCUGCAGGCAAGAGUGGGACACGGGGGUGAUCGAUGCCGCUGUGCCACAGCCCUGCCCGUGGCGCUGUGCUGGAGGGCGCCCGCCGGGGCGCCUGCUGCAGGCCCCCAGCCCCGGCCCAGGGGAGCAGGGUCUCUGCAGGGCUUCACAGGCCCCGGGCUCCGAGUGAGCGACGCCGUAACAGCUGGACACACUCGGGGGGCCACAGGAGGAGAGCUUCCCGCCAGGCAGCUUAGAGGGCUGGGUGCACACAAGACGGUGGUCCUGGCUCAGGGGCCAGUGACAGCUGGACACAGUCCCCAGUGUUGGGGGGAGGGAGCCGGGAGGAUGCCAGCCCACCUGAGCAGACUCACCCGUCCCGACGCUGUCUCUCAUGUGCCCCAAACCCGGGCCUGGAGAAGCCAAGGUUGGGUCUGGUGGGCCAGCCCACGGGAGGCCCAGCUAGGUCUCUGCGGGGAAUCCCGAGCGUGGGAAGCUGCCGCUGUGAGGACGGUCACCUCAGUGAAAAGAAGCGAAAAGCCGACUGUCCCAGGGCUGGGCGGCCUGAACAGAGUCUGGCCCGUCUGCAGGUCUACAGCCCUGAAGGGACACACAGGCUCGCCCAGCCUGGGAGGAAGAAGGCCACCCAUGGGCCAGGGAGAGGUCACACUGGUUUCACAGCAAACAAGGAGCAGGAGGCCUACACUGCUUACGUCGGGCCCACGGGAGGCACCUCCCUGGAGGCUGAGCCCUGUGCUGCCCCAUCUCACAAGGCGAAUUUCCAGUUCCUGCAGGAGUGCUUUAUGCAAAGGAGUACCCUCUGUCUACGAAAAGUAAUAGUGAUGAAGUCUUUCACUGCUAGGCCCACAUCCAAGACGGGUGAAAGUGGCUUUAUUAUUGCCAAUAGGACUGUUCUCAAGAGAGCACUGCUGACAGUGUGGCCUCCGAGACACAGGGCAUAAACCCUUAAGUGGAGGUUAAGAGGCUGCUCAGGGAACCUUUUGGAUGAAGCAAGAAGCUGGUGCAGCUGAGCGUGACCAUAAGGGAGGGAGAGAAAACCUGUUCAGGUCACUGGCUGAAGGUCAUCGUUCCUCUCACGAUUCCCGUGUGCACCCAUGGCACAUGCAAGUGUGAGCAUAUGCACUCAGGCAUGCACAUGGGCACACACACAGGGAGUCACAUGUGUAGUCACGUGGACACACAUAGGUGUAGGCACACAUGAAC
rnacentral:lncRNA from 1 species